rnacentral:rRNA from 1 species
UACGUAGGUCUCAAGCGUUAUCCGGAUUUACUGGGCGUAAAGGGUCCGCAGGUGGAUAGGUAAGUCUGAUAUUAAAGGUUACAGCUCAACUGUAAUUUUGUGUUGGAAACUGCCCAUCUUGAAAGUAGGAGAGGCAGACGGAACUUAUGGUGUAGGGGUUAAAUCCGUUGAUAUCAUAAGGAACGCCAAAAGCGAAGGCAGUUUGCUGGCCUAACUUUGACACUCAGGGACGAAAGCGUGGGGAGCGAUCGGGAUUAGAUACCCCGGUAGUCCACGCUGUAAACUAUGGAUGCUAGGCAUUGGGGUGUUCGACCCCUUCAGUGCCGCAGCUAACGCAUUAAGCAUCCCGCCUGGGGAGUACGAACGCAAGUUUAAA